UAGAUGUUCUUCUUUUUUUUCUUCUUACUAACAGACAUAUGGUAUAAAAAUUCCCUUUUAUGAAGUCCCAAGCUCAGUUCAAAACAACAUAAUUAAUAAAUUGGAAGUAAAAAAUAUAACAGAAUUAUGAGUUUUUACUCAAGAAUCAAAAAUACUUCGAAUUCAUACCAAGAAGCUCAAGCCUUCAGAGAAUUUAUUUGUGACACGCACGAACUAGAGGUUACAUUUAGGAAGCAUCAUUACCUCGUAAGUUACUAAAGGAGAUAUUUAGUGGAAUUGAAUCUCUUCGAUCAACUGAAUUUAGGAAACCCAUUAAAGUUUAAUGGUCAGUUACACCAACCCGACACUCUUUUAAACUAAUAACGUCACUACAUUUAAAUUUACCUCAGUUUAACUUUAAGUUCGGUAAAUUCUGGGGAAAUCACCAAGAGUGUCUAUAAUUUCUGAAAAUUGAUACAAAAUCCAGUAUGUAUAAAAAAUCAUACUGUUCAUCUACAAAUCCAUUUCAGGGACCGUUUAGGAUAGGAAAAUAAUCUAUUCGCGUUGUCCUUGAUAUGCUACUCCCUCAAUGUCAGAGACCACGGGAAGGACAAGAUCCGGUUUUAAUCCCCAUUCAUCGUUGACAAUUUUUCUUCAAUGUCUUCGAACGAAUGGAUUUCAUCGUACCAUUGGUAAUCAGUGUUUUCAUCAGAGUAUCUCUAACAACAGACUGCCAACCAAUCAAUGAAAUAGCAAAGCUCCACUCAGAACUAGUAUAUGAAUUUGUCAAUCUUCCGAGUGUUGAAGAAUCCCAACGCCUUGCCCAAAAUAUAUUUUUAAACACAAGUUUGAUAGGAACUUGUGUUAUAGUAGAUGGCACUCAUAUUUAGAUAAAAAACCACCGAUAAUGUCGCCUAUUCUUGAGAAAUAAGAAAAAAAUAAUCCAAUAUUUCUCAUGUAGACAUGGAGGUAGUGCUCAUGACUCGAAGAUAUUUAAUGAAAAUAGACUAAAGAAUAUUUUAAAAGACAGAUUUUAUCAAAAAGAAAACCUUUUCUUGGUUGGUGAUGAAGGCCUUGCACUCUUCUGACAUUUUUGCAACCCUUUCAUUGACUCAAAAGAAAGGUGAUAUUUCAGCCUUCAUUUCAGAAGGGUCCUAAAAAGUCAAUUUCCAGUUUAUGAUUAUAUUGUCAAUUUACUACAUAAGAAUAUAAGAACAUCAUAUUUCA
rnacentral:lncRNA from 1 species